UGCAAUGGCAGAUUGCCUCAUGUGCCCUGGCGUAAUAAGAUUUAUCUUUCGCUUGUGCAUUGAGACGAUCCCGCCGCAAACCCCCAAUUUUUUCUGGUUGACCUCGGAUCAGGUAGGGAUACCCGCUGAACUUAAGCAUAUCAAUAAGCGGAGGAAAAGAAACCAACAGGGAUUGCCUCAGUAACUGCGAGUGAAGCGGCAAAAGCUCAAAUUUGAAAUCUGGCGCCUUCGGCGUCCGAGUUGUAAUUUGGAGAGGCAUCUUCGGAUAUGGCGCCGUCCUAAGUUCCUUGGAACAGGACGUCACAGAGGGUGAGAAUCCCGUGCCUGGUCGGCUGUCCAUAUCCAUGUGAAGUGUCUUCGACGAGUCGAGUUGUUUGGGAAUGCAGCUCAAAAUGGGUGGUAAAUUUCAUCUAAAGCUAAAUAUUGGCGAGAGACCGAUAGCGCACAAGUAGAGUGAUCGAAAGAUGAAAAGAACUUUGAAAAGAGAGUUAAAAAGUACGUGAAAUUGUUGAAAGGGAAGCGCUUGAGACCCCACUCGAUCUUUGGUGAUCAGCUAGGCUUCUGUCUGGUGCACUUGCCAUUGAUUGGGCCAGCAUCGGUUCUGACGGCGGGAUAAAAGGCAGAGGAAUGUGGCUCUCUUCGGGGAGUGUUAUAGCCUCAGUCAUAAUGCCGCCAG
rnacentral:rRNA from 1 species